rnacentral:lncRNA from 1 species
GUACAUUCAUCGCAUUUAUUUUACUUUCAGCUGUUAUAAUUGAUAGUCUAUAUAAUGUAUAUAUAUGAGGUUUUUUAAUAUAAAUAUGGGUUUGUGAGAGUGCCACUUAAGAUCAGUCUGUAACACGUUAUUUAGAGAUUAUUUACAGGAUGUUGGUACCUUUCCCACUUUUUUUUUUGUUUAUAGUUUAAGAGGACUGAAGGGAGAAACACAAUUUAGCAUGAGAUUGAUUUUACAUCAGCUGGGUUUACAUGAAAUACUAUUACAGUAUUAAAGAAUUGCAUUGUCAUCUCUUGCUGUGGGGUUGCAUUAUGUUCUGUAGCCUUGGCUCACUUAUUAAUCUUCCAGUAACGCACACUUAAUUGUUCAGCAAAUGACACAACAUAUGAGGAAAUAAUACCUACGAUGUGAUUUAUAUCUCUCCAGGCAAAGACACUGAGAACUGAAUCAUCUGCCUUCGCUUAUUGUACUGCAGCACAGGAACAGCCAAAGGAUCUGAACACUGUGGCCAGUUGGGACCCACUGAAAACAUGUACCCUGGAAAUAAAAGAUUUUUAAAAGACAAAAGGAAGACACCAUGUGAAAACAUCACUAUGGAAACAUCACGGGCUCGCUUGCACUCGCCUGCCAAGCGACUACCUAACCCAAGUUUUACAUCCUAUUGGAUCACUGUUGGCCAUCUGCUCUCCUUCAAACUUCUCUGAAUUCCUUAUUUCCCUGAAAAGUUCAUUUUUAGAAAAGGAGGGAGGAGGAGGCAAGGGGAGAAUCCGGCGUUCUUGGCUAGAGGAGAGCUAUUGUGAAAAAGGAAGAUAAACUCACUUUGGGGCAGCCCCUUAAAAAGACAAAGAUCCGUGUUUUGCAAAGUAAUUUCAUAGAAAAUACCCCGUUUCUAGAUGGACUUUAACGAUAAGAGUAUAUAUUGGCAGCCACAAGGCAAAACAAACAAACAGCUGCUUCUAGUACUCUGGCACUAAUUGUCUUCCUCUCCCCUGCUCUCAUUUAGCGUCAAAUGUAUUUUCUUCUAAAAUGUAGCAGUUACUGCCUACACUGGAGCUGUUGGCUGCAGGCUCCCCAGCCUUGCUCCAAAUAAAACACAGAAAUAGAUUUCCUGCCA